rnacentral:lncRNA from 1 species
UCCCCUCUUCAUUGGGAACUUGGCCAUGUGUUUACUGGCCAUGAACACAGGAGCCAAAAUGUUUGUGCAAGGGGGAGAGGAUUCUGGUGCAGCUCUGCCACUUGGGGAGUGAAGCCUCUAUGACAUAUCUUGUGGGGAUAACAAUCCCUACAUACAUUGUAGGUGCACACAAAACUGCUACCAGCCAGCUACCAUGCUGCAUUAGAGAGGGAGACAUCUGUACCUCUGCCAUAAGGGAAGCACUGCAAGGGGUAAAAGAGGCCAUAACAGUGGUCAGAUCAAAAGAGAAAAGGAAACCUAAGAAAAUAAACGGAAACUAAGAAUGAAAGACUUACCUUGAGAGAUUUCUCUUGUCGCUUCACUGACAGUCAAGAGUUCUCCAAUCUGGACACAUGGAAAGUCCAUUCUCUGCACCAGCACCACAGAAAGACUUGUCUAGCAGAAGGUAGGAGAUGAGCAGGGCCUAUAGAAGGAAACAGCCCCUUAGAGAUCCUUGCCCAACCUGUUCCAGAUGUUAAAAGUGAUAACCAAGACUUUGAAUUGUACCUAGAAUAGAACCACCAACUGGUAGAAUUACCUACAAGAGCACAGCAAUAUGCUUUCUACCACUGGUUUCAGUCUAAACUUGAGUUGUAAAUCCUGAUUUGUUUCAUCUUCGCACAGAAAAUGAGAGAAUGCAAAGAUUUCUCUCUUCAUCAUGAGAAGAUGAGAAGGACUCACCCCCCCCCAACUAUCUUGGAGGGAUUUUAUGCAUUUUCAAGACUGAUUUCUAGAAAUGCUCAAAAUUGAAAACAGCAACAAUUGUUACCUUGCUGCAUAGACUACUGGACAGCUUAUUAUUAUUUUUUUUUGCAUUUGUGUGAUUGAUCAGUGUGAUCAUUUGGGCUUGAUGUGCUCAUUAUCACAAAAAGAAAAAAAGACACUCAUUUUGCUUAAAGGCAUUUUUGUGCAAAUUACAGAGAACAUGAAGGAAAAAAAGCACUUUACGUAACUGAUAGUGGAGCUAAAAUGUUGUUUGGGGAUCAAAGAAUUUUCAACAGGAUCUUUUCGUGUCAAGAUAACUUGCCUCAUCUGAAAUCAAGACAGUGACAAAGCCUAUUCAUGCCACUAGUGAAUUUUCUAGACCCUCAUCCAGAACACACCCCUGUAGACUGUGUUGUAAUAAUUCAGUUUCGAUAUAACUAAGGUAUUCAUGGCUAUGGCUGGAGCCUUCUGAAGGAAUCAGCACAAUUGGCCUCAAAGCUGGGCAGAAGCACACCUUGCUGGCAUUAUCACUUAAGAACCCAAAAGUAGCACAGGAUCCAGAAACACCCUCAAGGC